GACACGCCAGCAACCUACAGAGACUUCAAAUUCUCAGGAAACCUCUCUAGGACGGAAGCUUUAUACUCCGACAUCCACAAUUUACCACGCCCCUGAGAUCGACAAAGGUCUUUCUGAUAGAUUGACUUCCAGCCAAUUCGAUCUAUCGAAGCCGAGUGGGAAGAACAAAGAACUGAAACCCCAUGGUCGCAACGAUGCUCCUCGCGGACAAGGGAGAGUUAGGGCCAUCGGUGGUCACAAGACUGGAUAAUAUUUAUUUUUUAAGCGUUGAGGUUGUCACGAAAGCGUACUGUAACGGGACUAUCAGAUUUGAGUGAUUUGAUUUUGUGAUUUGCAGUUCACGUGAUUUUAUUGUGAUUUUAGACUGUAAAAACUAUAAAGGUUCAAGUUGAACUAUCGUCGCCAUGAUUAUGUAUUUUGGAACUGUUCACGUUGAAAUUGCUUCGUUAA